AUGAGAAUUAUUCAAAACUAUUGCAAUAUAGAAAUUGCAAAAUUUCGACAUGAUCAUUGGACAAAAAAAAUGCUGACUGGGACUGUGGAGUUUGAAAAAAAAAAAAAAAGGUGGAGAAAAGACACAAGUUAACUGCAAAAGAAUUAAGAAUUAAGACUUUUCAGAAUAGAAGAUGGAAUAAAAAUGCGCUCCCCAAACUUACUGCCAGAUUCUGGAACAGGGGUCAGGAACCUUUUUUGACCAAAAAGCAAAAUUUUUAUUUUUUUGGUUAAGAGCCAUUUUUCCAAAAGGGCAUAUAUAUAUAUGUGCUUGGAAAAUAUCAUCUGAAUAUCAAGUGCCUAAUAAUGAUGCACGCCGUGCAAAGAAUUUUUAAUGAUUUUAUUGAUCUAUAAGCAUUUGUAAAAUAUUUUUGCCGGCAUUACAGCUUGGUCUUCAUCUGUGAGCUUAUCUGUUUUAUUGUUACAUCAUGAGUUGUGUAAAUUCAGAUAAAUUUCAUGUCACAGGAUGUCAUAGGUCAGUAUUUAAAUGAGUUUGAAAUUAUUAUUAUUAUUAUUAUUAUUAUUAUUAUAAAACCUAUGCAAUUAUAUAUAUAUAUAUAUAUAUAUAUAUAUAUAUAUAUAUAAUAUAUAUAUAAUAAUUUGCAUAGGUUUAUAGUAAUAAUAAUAAUAAUAAUAAUAAUAUAUAAUAAUAUAUAUAUAUAUCAAACUCAUUUAAAUACUGACCUAUGAUAUAUAUAUGAUAUAUAUAUAUAUAUAUAUAUAUAUAUAUAUAUAUUGAAACACACACACACACACAUAGCCUAUAUUAGGGGUGUAUUGAUUCAUCGAUAUGGAUCGAUGCAUCGAUAGCACCUAAAAAAACCCACCUAAAUAACCUUUGUAACAUCAAAAAAUUAAUCUAUAUUUAGUUUUAAACAGUGAUGUCUAUGCAGUUAUUUACGUUUGAUAUAUUCUAUAUUUAGUUUUAAACAGUGAUGUAUUGAUUCAUCGAUAUGGAUCGAUUCAUCGAUAGCACUCGUACAGUAUAGAUAUCUGUUAUAUAAAUAGGCAGCUUAUUUGGCACUGUCUACAUUUUCACAUAAUGUCCGUCAACGGCUGCAUUCUCGUUCAAACUCACCGAUUAGGACUCGGUAUAAGGCACAAGGUGAGCAUAUAAGACGCUCGGGAUUGUUCGCGGAACAGUCGAGCGCUGUGUGUUUCACCGCACACAUCUGAAGCGCGUGCAUGCACACAGACAGCCGCACGCGCGAAUACUAAACUGAGCUAUCUUCCGCUUUUUGUGCAUGGAUCAAUAAAUACAUAAUUACAUCUAAAUGCGCGUUUUGGGGAAUAUCCUAGUAAACACAGUCGGUUAGGCAUAUGUCUUAACGUUAACAGUUCAGAAAUAAAAAGGCAUGUGUAUAUUAAACCCCGUGAUUGGUUCUUAAAGUGCCAGCAUAAUAAUCCAUCUCAUGCUGUCAAAGAAAAAAAUACAAGUGUUCAUUGCUUCUGACUAAAUAACCUUUGUAACAUCAAAAAAACGAUUAACACAUACACUCAGCGCACACACAUUCUUCACAGGGCAAUGGCAGAGUCAUCAGAGUGACUCAGCCCCCCUCCUUUUCUCUCACACAGAGACUGGCCUCAGAGUGAGAUCAGAUGACUGACAGUUUUUUUAAUUUUCUGUUAUCC
ensembl:lncRNA